CUGACCAGGAAAAACAUGCAUCUUGACUCCACUCAAUGUGUAUUAUGUGAUGAUGAAGAUAAUGAAAACAGAACCCAUUUGCUAUUCUCAUGUCCAUUCAGCCAGGGUUUUUGGUGGAACAUUGGUAUUGAAUGGAACACAGACUUGAAUAUUCAUGAUAUGAUUAUUGAAGCUCAUCAAAGAUAUCGCCAACACCAUUUCAUGGAAAUUAUGGUUGUUGGAUGCUGGAGUAUAUGGAAUCAAAGAAAUGAACUGAUAUUUGAAGGAAUCCCAUGCUCUAUCAAUGAUUGCAGAUAUGAAUUUAUCAAAACUUUCAAGUUGACUAUGCUUAGAGCCAAACCUAGUCUAAAGGAGGGCAUGUCAUCCUGGAUCGAUAACAUUUAA
rnacentral:rRNA from 1 species